AGAUGGCGACCGGCGCACGGGUGAGUAACACGUAUCCAACCUGCCGAUAACUCGGGGAUAGCCUUUCGAAAGAAAGAUUAAUACCCGAUGGCAUAAUAGAACCGCAUGGUUUGAUUAUUAAAGAAUUUCGGUUAUCGAUGGAGAUGCGUUCCAUUAGGCAGUUGGUGGGGUAACGGCCCACCAAACCUUCGAUGGAUAGGGGUCCUGAGAGGAAGGUCCCCCACAUUGGAACUGAGACACGGUCCAA
rnacentral:rRNA from 1 species